rnacentral:tRNA from 1 species
GCAAAUAUAGUUUAGAUUGUGAAUCUGAAAUUAGGAGUUUAAAUCUCCUUAUAUGCC